UACGUAGGUGGCUAGCGUUGUCCGGAUUUACUGGGCGUAAAGAGCGCGCAGGCGGUCGUUCAAGUCGAGUGUGAAAGCCCCCGGCUCAACUGGGGAGGGUCACUCGAUACUGAUCGACUCGAAGGCAGGAGAGGGAAGCGGAAUUCCCGGUGUAGUGGUGAAAUGCGUUGAUAUCCAUAGGAGCUCCGGUGGCGAAAGCGGUGUGCUGGAUCCUUUCUGACGCUGAGGCGCGAAAGCCAGGGGAGCAAACGGG
rnacentral:rRNA from 1 species